GUGCACCCGCCCACAUGGUUUGCGGUCUUUUUGCCCUUCGUUGCUCUCCACCGGUCUGGGCAGGGUCUGAGGACUCCGGAGAGCAAGGCAUGGUUCCGCCUCGUGCCGCAGGUUCCUGGCCCACGCCAGCCGUACCCAGUAGCACAAUGGUAAGCGCAUGCUGGCGAGAGGUAGGCGGUGUGAGGAGGGGCUGGUUUCGGGGAGAGGACAGUAAUGAUGAUUUCUGGUGAUUCUGAGUGUCUCGCUGACGCCAUCACCGCAGCGCGCUGACCGUCCCCGGGUCCAAAAUCGGCAGUGGCGUGGGUUUUGAGUGGCCUAGAGUUAGUAAUUUACCUCUGUGUCUUGCUUUCUGGUAGGGAUUUGAGGACACACGCCAGCUGCCUACACCUGAAGAAAGGUUAGUAUUAGGAUCCACUGGCAUGCUUCUCUCUUGGCUUGACUUUUUGGAAGGGGUGGAUUCGAGACAGGGUUUCUCCAUGUAGCCCUGAUCUCAGAUCCGCCUGCCUCUACUUUCUGGAAUUAAGUGCAUGCAGCACCACCGACUGGCCCUUGUUUUGUUCUUAAUAUCCUGCCUGCAUUAGCCAGUCUCCAAGCAAGCCACCACCCAGCCAUCUUUUUGUUUUUAGAUCUUAACUAAUCUCCCUAACUCUGAAUCUAUGGUGGAUCCAGGAGCUGCCUUGAUUAUUUC
ensembl:processed_transcript RIKEN cDNA 1110038B12 gene